rnacentral:lncRNA from 1 species
UCAUUCAUUUACUGUUUUAUUCAUUCAGAAACACAGUAAGUACCAAAUUGUGCAAGACAUAAUGACUAGACACAGUUCCCGCCCUUGGAAUGUGUCGUUCAGUGUCACGGGAAGAGUACUGGCCCUGGAGUCAUCCAAGUUGGGCUUAAGUCCUGGUUUUGCCACUUAGUAGCUGUGUGACCUUGAGGAAGUUAUUCAUUCUUUCGGAGUCUAAGCUUUCUUACUUAUAAAGUGGGCGUGCAAAGCCGACUUUGAUAGUUUGCUGUGAGGAUUAGAGCUACAGCUUUUGGAAUUCCUGGCACCGAAUAAGGGCUCUCUUAUUGACAUAUUCUUGGAUAACUGUUGUAUAAGGUAAAAAAAGAAGAGUGGCUAACAUAGGGCAGGGAUGCCUGAAGGGAUUUAUAGAAGGAAGAAAUGGGUAACGGUUGAGGGGUAGAGGGUCCAAGUGAGAUAUCAAGGAAGGAUUCCUGGAAGAGGUGGGAUUUGAGCUGAUACUUGAAAGCAGAGACUUGCUAUAUCAAGAUGGGAGGAGUGGGAGGUGAGGCUUAGGCUGUGUUCCUUCUCUGGGGAAUUCCCCUUUGUCCUUCUCAGAAACUGGGUCUAAGACCUCAGAGAAAGUAGCAAUAAGGCCAGGGAGUCCUCAGUCCUGAGUCCUAGAGAGUUGCAGAAGUAUCUGCAUCACAUUUUCCUGACUUUCUCUAUUCUGAGUCAUAUUCUUGCAGCUCUUCAUUUUUCAAAUUUCAUUUCGCAAACCUUCAGAGAUGGAAGUUUUGCCACUUUUCACACCAAAAGCACUUACUGUGUUUUUUUUAACCACAUGGCAUCAAACUUUUUCUAAAAAGGUUUGACAUAUGUAAACCACUCAGCUGUAGUUUGUUUCAUUAUUGUAAAAACAAAAGUAGCUGGACUAGAUGAUCGCUGGGGUCCUGUCCAACUUGGCAGGUGUUUGAAUCUCUAUUUGAACCUAAUGGUUCAGGUUCACGAAUAUCUUCUGCCUCUUCUCUGUGUUUCUCUCCUUCUGCUACUCUCUUUUCUGUCUCUGUCUUUCUCUGUCUCUGUGUCUCUCUAUCUAUAACUUUGUCUCAUUCUCUGGCAUUGUCUCUGUCUUUCCAAGCAUGCACCAUUUAAUUUAAGUCAAAUUUCUGGAUGUAUGCUCAACUACUUUUAAUUGCUCUCCAGCCAAGUGUGCCAGCCUGGGAUUAAGAGCCCUGGUCUUUAGCCCUGGCACUAACUCACUGUGUGACCUAGGACAACCCAUUUCCCCUGUGGGUCUGGAUUUUUCUAGAUGUACAAUGAAAGCCUUGGACCAGAUGAGCUCUAAGCCCUUUCCAACUUUGGCAUCUCUCAGGGUCUGUGAUUCCUGAAACAUCAGUGGUUCCUAGACAGGGGUGAAGGAUCUCCCCUUUUACCCCUUGGUGAACAAUCUUUGCCCUCAAGUUCCCUCAGGUGCCUUAGCCUGGCACCAGUUCACCACGGCAAGAGCUGCCUGUAAAAUCUAAUUCACAAUACAAGUUUCUGGGGCCUUCCUGCAGCUGUCAGCAGGUGUCACAUUCACAGUAUUUUGUCUUAAUUACAGCUCUGGGAUUUAUCAGCCAGGCUAGAGACCUCUUCUGGAAUACGACAUCCCCGGGAGCUGUUCCAGGUGCUCCUGUCCCUGCUGCUGCCACACACAGGCCUGUUCCCUGCCGAUGGGGCUGAAGUAGAUUCUGCUUUGCAUGCUGCUCCUGCUGUGUCUCCCACCACUACCUCACAGAGAGCCUGUGUGACAUAGAUAACUCCCACAGCCUUCCCAGGGAUCCAGAGGCAAAGACAUCUACCUGUUUGGGGCAGUGCCAAGGCUCCCACCAGCCCUGGAGCACUUCACAUCCGCUGUCCCAUCCCAAAACCUUGGUGGGCAGAGAAAUAGAGGCGAAAAAUGACUCUUGGAGAAGUUAAGUCACUUGAUCUGGACCACAUAGCAAGUACAGAAUUGGGGUCAGAGUUCCAAAGGCACCUUGCACACAGCCCUAGGAGGAGGUGACCUCCUGUGGUCAUCUGACGCUGACCCUUGGUGAUGGCUCACUGGUUCCCAACCACUUCCAACCUUCCUGCUGUCCUCACUGCUCUAGUCUGGUGGGGCAGUUUCCGGGUUAGCUGGCUGCCUCCUCUACUAACUCCCAGCCACUGACUUCCCAUCAGAGGACCUUCUCUGAGUUGAGACUGUGUGGAAAAGGCUAACAUUCCCUCCAAAAUGUGUGCUCCCUCUUCCAUAGGCCAGAGUGAGCCCUGUGAAGUAGCUGCAUUUCCCAGCCCUCUGCAGUAUAGAGAGAUGGGGGCAUGUCAUUAUUCUUGCCAAUGAUUCUGCCUGGGUGCACAGACUCAAUUCCUGGGGGACAGUGGAGCCACGGGAUGUAAAGGGCCUGCACCCCUGAAUGCCAGAAUGGAGGUGCACUGCCCCCAACCAGGGACAUGGACUGUUAGGUAAGGCUCAGGGAGAUUAAGGGAUGCACCCAAGGUCAAACACAACCAGUAGGCAGUAGGCCAGGAUUGAAUCUGGAUGUCUGACUCCAGAGACUUCUGGAGGUUCAGUUACCAGCACACGGUGGAGAUCUUCCUCCACCACCACCACCUAGAGAGAAUGAGCAGGAAACCUCAGAAGAAAUGGCACCCAAAAGAGCCAGAAGUGUCGCCUCAGCCAGCUAAGGUUGGAACCACUUACCAACGCCCAGAAUCACGUCUUUCCAAUCAAACCCAAUGACUGUUCAUCUCUGGGUUUCAGUUUCCUGGUUUGUAAACUCCCAUGAGUAAACAAUCUCUGAUUAUCCCGACCACAGAGAGGGUUCAAUCAGGUGUGCUGGUGGUCUUCAAUCAAACAUGGAUUUACCUCCCCUAUUCUAUUCUUCAAAGAGGGUGACAAAUCUGCAACUCACUUGAAAUCCAUCAAUAAAAAAGAUUAAUAAACAGA